CCAGGCUAGGAUUAUCAACAAGCACCAAGGACUCCAGAGACGGAGUUACAGGAAGCACCUUUAAUGCAUUGCACUUUUUAAUCGUCAGAAUUUCUAGCUUAUCAAAGAUAUCAGGCAACUUUCUUAGCUUGGGACAGUCACAAAUCUUUAGCCUACGCAGGGAAGGAUAUUGCAUGUUUGGCCAUGCCUCCAACUCCUGCAAUCCUUUGAC
rnacentral:misc_RNA from 1 species